UACGGAGGGUGCAAGCGUUGUUCGGAAUCACUGGGCGUAAAGGGCGUGUAGGCGGCCCGCUAAGUCUGAUGUGAAAGCCCGGGGCUCACCCCCGGAAGGGCAUUGGAAACUGGCGGACUCGAGUCCCGGAGAGGAGGGUGGAAUUCCCGGUGUAGCGGUGAAAUGCGUAGAUAUCAGGAAGAACACCCGUGGCGAAGGCGGCUCUCUGGGACGGUACUGACGCUGAGACGCGAAAGCGUGGGGAGCGAACAGG
rnacentral:rRNA from 1 species